rnacentral:rRNA from 1 species
AUUGAACGCUGGCGGCAGGCUUAACACAUGCAAGUCGAACGAUGACUCUCUAGCUUGCUAGGGAUGAUUAGUGGCGGACGGGUGAGUAACAUUUAGGAAUCUGCCUAGUAGUGGGGGAUAGCUCGGGGAAACUCGAAUUAAUACCGCAUACGACCUACGGGUGAAAGGGGGCGCAAGCUCUUGCUAUUAGAUGAGCCUAAAUCAGAUUAGCUAGUUGGUGGGGUAAAGGCCCACCAAGGCGACGAUCUGUAACUGGUCUGAGAGGAUGAUCAGUCACACCGGAACUGAGACACGGUCCGGACUCCUACGGGAGGCAGCAGUGGGGAAUAUUGGACAAUGGGGGCAACCCUGAUCCAGCCAUGCCGCGUGUGUGAAGAAGGCCUUGUGGUUGUAAAGCACUUUAAGCAGGGAGGAGAGGCUAAUGGUUAAUACCCAUUAGAUUAGACGUUACCUGCAGAAUAAGCACCGGCUAACUCUGUG